rnacentral:lncRNA from 1 species
UGCUAGGAUGUUUGAGACAGAAGAUAGUUUGAGAGGCUGAGGAUGAAUUAAAAAGAAUGUUCCAGUUAACUGAAGUUUAAAAUCAUAUGGAUUAUCACUUACCUGAGAAAAUCAAUAGACAAAAAGCGAGUCCUCUCAAAAGAAUGGCUGUAAAUUCCAAAGGUGCAAUCAGUGGAGAAAGGGAGGUAAUCAUGGGAGAAGUCCAAGGCCCUGAAAUUAUAAUAUGAUGAAAAUCUAAUGGAGAUAGCCAAGCUGCAGGGCUGCACAGGAUCUGUGAUGAAGUCAUGUAAGAUUCAAGCCAUGGAGUUGGCAGUGUAAUUUUCUUAUAGCCCUUUUUUUCCUCCUAAAAUUUUGCUCUGAAACUCUUUAUGCCCUUUAAGCUGAUUUAAUCAUAAAUUUUCCAGGGUUAAUCUAUUCAGCCUGAAAGGUGAUCUUGUGCCUGUGACUUUAUUUUCAAAGAUGUCUCUAGAAAAAAAAAACAACUCAAUAAUAGGAUUAACUCAUUCAUUCAGUUGAUAUUCACUGAAUACUUACUAUUUAAGCACUGUUUUGGGCACUUGGAGAAGCAGAAGUUAAUAAACAAAAAUCCUAUCCUUAGAAAAAUCACAUUCUUGUUGGGGAGACAGACAAAAAGUUAGUAAGAAAGUUACAUUAGAUGGUGAUAAUAGAAUGGAG